UGGGGUCGAGUUGCAGACCCCAAUCCGAACUGAGACCGGCUUUUUGGGAUUCGCUCCACCUUACGGUAUCGCAGCCCUCUGUACCGGCCAUUGUAGCAUGCGUGAAGCCCAAGACAUAAGGGGCAUGAUGAUUUGACGUCAUCCCCACCUUCCUCCGAGUUGACCCCGGCAGUCUCCCAUGAGUCCCCGGCAUAACCCGCUGGCAACAUAGGACGAGGGUUGCGCUCGUUGCGGGACUUAACCCAACAUCUCACGACACGAGCUGACGACAACCAUGCACCACCUGUGUACGAGUGUCCAAAGAGAACCCCGUCUCGGGGGCUUUCUCGUACAUGUCAAGCCUUGGUAAGGUUCUUCGCGUUGCAUCGAAUUAAUCCGCAUGCUCCGCCGCUUGUGCGGGCCCCCGUCAAUUCCUUUGAGUUUUAGCCUUGCGGCCGUACUCCCCAGGCGGGGCACUUAAUGCGUUAGCUGCGGCACGGAACUCGUGGAAUGAGCCCCACACCUAGUGCCCAACGUUUACGGCAUGGACUACCAGGGUAUCUAAUCCUGUUCGCUCCCCAUGCUUUCGCUCCUCAGCGUCAGUUGCGGCCCAGAGACCUGCCUUCGCCAUCGGUGUUCCUCCUGAUAUCUGCGCAUUCCACCGCUACACCAGGAAUUCCAGUCUCCCCUACCGCACUCUAGUCUGCCCGUACCCGAUGCAAGCCCGAGGUUGAGCCUCGGGAUUUCACACCAGACGCGACAGACCGCCUACGAGCUCUUUACGCCCAAUAAUUCCGGACAACGCUUGCGCCCUACGUAUUACCGCGGCUGCUGGCACGUAGUUAGCCGGCGCUUCUUCUGCAGGUACCGUCACUUGCGCUUCUUCCCUGCUGAAAGAGGUUUACAACCCGAAGGCCGUCAUCCCUCACGCGGCGUCGCUGCAUCAGGCUUGCGCCCAUUGUGCAAUAUUCCCCACUGCUGCCUCCCGUAGGAGUCUGGGCCGUGUCUCAGUCCCAGUGUGGCCGGUCGCCCUCUCAGGCCGGCUACCCGUCGACGCCUUGGUAGGCCAUCACCCCACCAACAAGCUGAUAGGCCGCGAGCCCAUCCCCCACCGAAAAACUUUCCAACCCACACCAUGCGAUGCGAGCUCAUAUCCGGUAUUAGACCCCGUUUCCAAGGCUUAUCCCGAAGUGGAGGGCAGGUUGCUCACGUGUUACUCACCCGUUCGCCACUGAUCCACCCAGCAAGCUGGGCUUCACCGUUCGACUGCA
rnacentral:rRNA from 1 species